rnacentral:rRNA from 1 species
CCCUUAGAUGUUCUGGGCCGCACGCGCGCUACACUGUUCGACGCAGCGAGUCUUAACCUUGACCGAAAGGUUUGGGUAAUCUUCAGCAAAGUCGAACGUGAUGGGGAUCGAUCAUUGCAAUUAUUGAUCGUGAACGAGGAAUUCCUAGUAAGUGCAAGUCAUCAGCUUGCGCUGAUUACGUCCCUGCCCUUUGUACACACCGCCCGUCGCUACUACCGAUUGGGUGUGCUGGUGAAAUGUUCGGAUCGGCCGUUUGUCGCGGUUUCCGCGUCAUGUGGCUGAGAAGUUCAUUAAACCCUCCCACCUAGAGGAAGGAGAAGUCGUAACA